UACGAAGGGGGCUAGCGUUGUUCGGAAUUAUUGGGCGUAAAGAGCGCGUAGGCGGUCCGAUAAGUCGGCUGUGAAAGUCAGGGGCUCAACCCUUGAAAGCCGGCCGAUACUGUCGGACUAGAGUCCGGAAGAGGCAAGUGGAAUUCCCGGUGUAGCGGUGAAAUGCGCAGAUAUCGGGAGGAACACCAAUGGCGAAGGCAGCUUGCUGGGACGGUACUGACGCUGAGGCGCGAAAGCUAGGGGAGCAAACAGG
rnacentral:rRNA from 1 species